rnacentral:rRNA from 1 species
UACGGAGGGCGCAAGCGUUGUUCGGAAUUACUGGGCGUAAAGCGCGUGUAGGCGGCCUGAAAAGUCGGGUGUGAAAUCCCGGAGCUCAACUCCGGAACUGCAUCCGAUACUGUCAGGCUCGAGUCUCGGAGAGGAUGGCGGAAUUUCCGGUGUAGAGGUGAAAUUCGUAGAUAUCGGAAGGAACACCAGUGGCGAAGGCGGCCGUCUGGACGAUGACUGACGCUGAGACGCGAAAGCGUGGGGAGCAAACAGG